CUUACAUCUCUCCGGAGCAUUUUACGAGGUGCUGCAUGGUUGUCGUCAGCUCGUGCCGUGAGGUGUCGGGUUAAGUCCAUAACGAGCGCAACCCUACCUUAGUUGCCAUCAGGUUAAGCUGGGGACUCUAAAGGAACUGCCUACGCAAGUAGUGAGGAAGGCGGGGAGUGACGUCAAAUCAGCACGGCCCUUACGUCCAGGGCUACACACGUGCUACAAUGGCCGAUACAGAGGGCAGCUACCUGGUGACAGGACGCAAAUCUCCAAAGUCGGUCUCAGUUCGGAUCGGAGUCUGCAACCCGACUCCGUGAAGUUGGAUUCGCUAGUAAUCGCGCAUCAGCCAUGGCGCGGUGAAUACGUUCCCGGGCCUU
rnacentral:rRNA from 1 species